GUGAGGAAUAUUGGACAAUGGGCGCAAGCCUGAUCCAGCCAUGCCGCGUGCAGGAAGAAGCAUCUAUGGUGUGUAAACUGCUUUUGUACGGGAAGAAACACUCCCUCGUGAGGGAGCUUGACGGUACCGUAAGAAUAAGGAUCGGCUAACUCCGUGCCAGCAGCCGCGGUAAUACGGAGGAUCCAAGCGUUAUCCGGAAUCAUUGGGUUUAAAGGGUCCGUAGGCGGUUUAAUAAGUCAGUGGUGAAAGCCCAUCGCUCAACGAUGGAACGGCCAUUGAUACUGUUAGACUUGAAUUACAAGGAAGUAACUAGAAUAUGUAGUGUAGCGGUGAAAUGCUUAGAUAUUACAUGGAAUACCAAUUGCGAAGGCAGGUUACUACUUGUGGAUUGACGCUGAUGGACGAAAGCGUGGGGAGCGAACAGGAUUAGAAACCCUUGUAGUCC
rnacentral:rRNA from 1 species